rnacentral:rRNA from 1 species
GUAAUGAUACCAUAGUGCCGCGGAUCUUCGGUUGGUCUCGGAUAACCGGCUUCGGUCGGUGAAGAGAGCCGCUCGUUACAGGGUCGGGGUGCGGCCGGAUGAUGGUCGCCCCUCUCCUAUAUCGCAUCACAUGUUUGUGUCGAACCUGGUGCUAAAUGACUCGCAGACGACCUGAUUCUGGGUCAGGGUUUCGUGCGUAGCAGAGCAGCUCCCUCGNUGCGAUCU